rnacentral:rRNA from 1 species
CCCUUAGAUGUUCUGAGCCGCACGCGUGCUACACUGAGUGGAUCAGCGGGUCAGGUUACGCGAGAGCGUUUCCUAAUCUUCAAAUCCGCUCGUGAUGGGGAUUGACGGUUGCAAUUUUCCGUCAUGAACGAGGAAUACCUUGUAAGCGCGGGUCAUCAUCCCGCGCUGAAUACGUCCCUGCCCUUUGUACACACCGCCCGUCGCUCCUACCGAUUGAGUGGUCCGGUGAGGCUUUGGGAUCUAAGCGAAAAGAGCGUUUCGCUCCUUUUGCUGGGAGAACUCAGUCGAACCUUAUCAUUUAGAGGAAGGAGAAGUCGUAACA